AGCGGUUCGGCCGGGAACUCUAAGGAGACUGCCGGUAAUAAACCGGAGGAAGGUGAGGAUGAUGUCAAGUCAUCAUGGCCCUUACGGGUAGGGCUACACACGUGCUACAAUGGGCAGUACAAAGGGUUGCCAAACCGCGAGGUAAAGCUAAUCCCAAAAAGCUGCUCGUAGUCCGGAUUGGAGUCUGCAACUCGACUCCAUGAAGCUGGAAUCGCUAGUAAUCGCGAAUCAGAAUGUCGCGGUGAAUACGUUCUCGGGCCUUGUACACACCGCCCGUCACACCAUGGGAGUGAACUGUACCAGAAGCGGGUAGGCUAACCUUCGGGAAGCUGCUCACCACGGUAUGAUUC
rnacentral:rRNA from 1 species